CAUCAGUUACUUUGUCCAGCUCCAAACCAACUUCCAGUUCCAGCCCAGAGCAGAGCACCUGUGUCCACUCUGGCUUCUGACUGAGAAGCGUGGUUGCACCAGCUUGCAUUCCCACCAACAGUGUAGGAGGGUUAAGGUGGAAAACUUUUGGAAACAGAUGAUGGCGACAGUAGCAAGACAUCAUGAAUUCACUUAAUGGAUUUCAGGCUCCACAACCAGCAUGAAGCCCAAUACGGGUCUUGAAC